GGCAUACCAUGAGGUCCAUGACCAUUACCCAUCAUCGGCAUCAUCUUGUUUGGCAUACCAUUAGGUCCAUGGCCAUUACCCAUCAUCGGCAUCAUCUUGUUGAUUGGCAUACCAUGAGGUCCAUGGCCAUUACCCAUCAUAGGCAUCAUCUUGUUGAUUGGCAUACCAUUAGGUCCAUGGCCAUUACCCAUCAUAGGCAUCAUCUUGUUAGGCAAGCCAUGGCCAUGACCAUGACCAAACUCUUCCUCGUCCUCAUCAAAUUCAUCAUCGAACUCAUCAUCAAAUUCAUCAUCGAACUCGUCAUCAAAUUCAUCAUCACUUGCAUCAAAAUCAUCCUCAUUCAGAUUGAACUUAACUGACUUCUGGUCUUUAUUUUGAGGCAUCUUUGGAUCCUUAGACCCUUUCAGCUGUUGUUGCAUCAUCUGUACUUGUUGUCCUUGUUGACCUUUUCCACCCUUCCCAGACUUGUUAUCUUUGCCACCGCCACCGCCACAGCCACCGCCCAUUUGCAUGUUCUUGAAUUGAUUAUUAAGGUUUUGGAAGUUGUUUGAGCCCUUUUGACCUCCCCAUAACUCUGCAUGUUUCCCCGACUUCUCGAGCUUUUUAACGAGUUUGGCCGGAUCUACAUUUCCUGUCACAGUUACCUUCCCUUGCUCUGCAUUUACUGUGGUAGUAUACACCCCUGUGCAAGAAAAUAUUGCUACCACAUAAGUAAAAUUCAAUGAAAACUGUCUCGCACUAUGAGACAAACAACUAAAGUAAGAUUAGAAAAUGACACUUCUUCUAAGGCAAAGUCCCAUCAAUCAAGAACCCAAUAAUCUAAACAAUGCUUCUGCUUUCUUGAAAGUAUCAUCUCCCACCAAAA